rnacentral:rRNA from 1 species
GCAAGUCGAACGGUAAGGUCCGCUUCGGCAGAUACACGAGUGGCGAAAGGGUGAGUAACGCGUGAGCAACUUGCCCCGAGGUCGGGGAUAGCCCUGCGAAAGCGGGAUUAAUACCGGAUGUGGCAUGCAACCGAUUGGUUGCAAGGCUAAAGAUUCAUCGCCUCGGGAUGGGCUCGCGUCCGAUUAGCUUGUUGGUGGGGUAAUGGCUCACCAAGGCUUCGACCGGUAGCUGGUCUGAGAGGAUGGUCAGCCACACUGGGACUGAGACACUGCCCAGACUCCUACGGGAGGCUGCAGUCGAGAAUCUUCCGCAAUGCGCGAAAGCGUGACGGAGCGAUGCCGCGUGCGGGAUGAAGGCCCUCGGGUCGUAAACCGCUGUCACCCGGGAUGAAGUUCUGACAGUACCGGGAGAGGAAGCCACGGCUAACUACGUGCCAGCAGCCGCGGUAAUACGUAGGUGGCGAGCGUUAUUCGGAUUUAUUGGGCGUAAAGGGUUCGUAGGGGGUUUGUCAAGUCUGGUGUGAAAUCCCGCGGCUCAACCGCGGAACUGCACUGGAAACUGGUAGACUGGAGCAUCGGAGAGGAGAGUGGAAUUCCUGGUGUAGCGGUGGAAUGCGUAGAUAUCAGGAGGAACACCGAUGGCGAAGGCAGCUCUCUGGACGAUUGCUGACCCUGAUGAACGAAAGCUGGGGGAGCGAACAGGAUUAGAUACCCUGGUAGUCCCAGCCGUAAACGUUGUGCACUAGGUGUGGGGGGAUUUGACCCCCUCCGCGCCCCAGCUAACGCGAUAAGUGCACCGCCUGGGGAGUACGGCCGCAAGGCUAAAACUCAAAGGAAUUGACGGGGGCCCGCACAAGCGGUGGAGCAUGUGGCUUAAUUCGAGGCCACGCGAAGAACCUUACCUGGGUUUGACAUAUACCGGACCGCCGGUGAAAGUCGGUUUCUCUUCGGAGUCGGUAUACAGGUGCUGCAUGGCUGUCGUCAGCUCGUGCCGUGAGGUGUUCGGUUAAGUCCGGCAACGAGCGCAACCCGUGUCAUUAGUUGCCAUCAGGUAAAGCUGGGGACUCUAGUGAGACUGCCCGUGUCAAGCGGGAGGAAGGCGCGGAUGACGUCAAGUCCGUAUGGCUCUUACACCCAGGGCUGCACACGUGCUACAAUGGCCGGUACAGUGGGACGCGAAACCGCGAGGUGGAGCAAAUCCCCAAAACCGGUCCCAGUUCGGAUUGGAGUCUGCAACUCGACUCCAUGAAGCUGGAAUCGCUAGUAAAGGCGUAUCAGCAACGGCGCCUUGAAUACGUUCCCGGGCCUUGUACACACCGCCCGUCACAUCAUGGAAGCUGGUUGCACCCGAAGUCGUUGACCUGACCCGCAAGGGAGGGAGGCGCCGAAGGAGUGGCUAGUGACUGGGAUGAAGUCGAAACAAGGUA